rnacentral:rRNA from 2 species
CGAUGUCUACUUGGAGGUUGUGGCCUUGAGCCGUGGCUUUCGGAGCUAACGCGUUAAGUAGACCGCCUGGGGAGUACGGUCGCAAGAUUAAAACUCAAAUGAAUUGACGGGGGCCCGCACAAGCGGUGGAGCAUGUGGUUUAAUUCGAUGCAACGCGAAGAACCUUACCUACUCUUGACAUCCAGAGAACUUUCCAGAGAUGGAUUGGUGCCUUCGGGAACUCUGAGACAGGUGCUGCAUGGCUGUCGUCAGCUCGUGUUGUGAAAUGUUGGGUUAAGUCCCGCAACGAGCGCAACCCUUAUCCUUGUUUGCCAGCGAGUAAUGUCGGGAACUCCAGGGAGACUGCCGGUGAUAAACCGGAGGAAGGUGGGGACGACGUCAAGUCAUCAUGGCCCUUACGAGUAGGGCUACACACGUGCUACAAUGGCGCAUACAGAGGGCGGCCAACUUGCGAAAGUGAGCGAAUCCCAAAAAGUGCGUCGUAGUCCGGAUUGGAGUCUGCAACUCGACUCCAUGAACU